ACUCACUUCACCAUUACACCCAAUAAAGAAGAAACCACACUUCACCGCUGCAAAAGAGUCUCAACUGCGAUUGUUGAAGCGAUUCUUUUAGUAUCAGGAGGAUAGAAAAUGCGUAAAAUUCUAUAACUAGGGAUUUCAUAACAAGAAGGGACUACAGUUCUUAUUUGAAGGACAAGCUGUUACCGGACAUCAUGCUUUCAAUCCUUCUGCCAUUGUGUUACCUCAAACUAUGAAUGAAGACACUCAAGUCAUAGAUGAAGGUGAAUGGGGAAUUAAAGAUUUGUUUCUUUUUCAAGAUGAUGAUUCAAUUGAUCCAGAGUACGAUGCUAAUGCUGAUGUGGCUGUGGAUGUCUAGAGCUCACCCACUCCACCUGCUCGUGCUAGCAGGAGGUCUACCACUCUAGGGAAUCACAGUAGAAGCAAGAGGAAGGCUAGUGAUGUCCGAGAUGAGAUCAAUGCCUCUUUAGGUCUGCUGGUGAUUGUAGUUUAGAGUCGUACUUCAAUUGCAAAUUCUGUUUAUAAUUCUAAAGACAUAGAUAAUGUUAUGCUUAUGUUAGAAGAGUUUCCAAAGACAUCCAAUGGGGACCUAUGCUAAAGUUUGCACUCAAGUUAUUUAAGAAGGAAGAAGUGGCAGCUGGAGUGGUUGCAAUCAAAGUUUGAUGAGGCUAAUGGUGGAGGAAAUUCGAGCUCCAUUUAGUGAUUCAUGCAUUGGAUGUUUUGUGAAGCAUCUGUUUGUCUCUUAUAUUACUAUGUCAACACUCUGUCAUUCUCUGUCUUAAUUUAUUUGC